rnacentral:tRNA from 1 species
GGCUUCAUGGCUUCAUCGGUUAAAGCGCCUGUCUAGGAAACAGGAGAUCCUGGGUUUGAAUCCCAGCAAGGCCU